rnacentral:rRNA from 1 species
GGCGGCCGCGGGAAUUCGAUUAGAGUUUGAUCAUGGCUCAGAACGAACGCUUUCGGUAUGCUUAACACAUGCAAGUCGAACGAUUUAUUUAGAGCUUGCUUUAAAUAAAUUAGUGGCAGACGGGUGAGUAACACGUGGGAAUCUGCCCAUCAGUACGGAAUAACAUUUAGAAAUAAUUGCUAAUACCGUAUAUUCUCUUUGGAGGAAAGAUUUAUCGCUGAUGGAUGAGCCCGCGCCAGAUUAGGUAGUUGGUAGGGUAAUGGCCUACCAAGCCAAUGAUCUGUAGCUGGUUUGAGAGAAUGAUCAGCCACACUGGGACUGAGACACGGCCCAGACUCCUACGGGAGGCAGCAGUGGGGAAUAUUGGACAAUGGGCGAAAGCCUGAUCCAGCAAUGCCGCGUGAGUGAUGAAGGCCUUAGGGUUGUAAAGCUCUUUUACCCGGGAUGAUAAUGACAGUACCGGGAGAAUAAGCUCCGGCUAACUCCGUGCCAGCAGCCGCGGUAAAUCACUAGUGAAUUCGCGGCCGCCUGCAGGUCGACCAUAUGGGAGAGCUUCCAAC